rnacentral:rRNA from 1 species
UGAGGAAUAUUGGACAAUGGGUGAGAGCCUGAUCCAGCCAUCCCGCGUGAAGGAUGACGGUCCUACGGAUUGUAAACUUCUUUUGUAUAGGGAUAAACCUCUCUACGUGUAGAGAGCUGAAGGUACUAUACGAAUAAGCACCGGCUAACUCCGUGCCAGCAGCCGCGGUAAUACGGAGGGUGCAAGCGUUAUCCGGAUUUAUUGGGUUUAAAGGGUCCGCAGGCGGGCCGAUAAGUCAGUGGUGAAAUCUCAUAGCUUAACUAUGAAACUGCCAUUGAUACUGUCGGUCUUGAGUAAAUUAGAGGUAGCUGGAAUAAGUAGUGUAGCGGUGAAAUGCAUAGAUAUUACUUAGAACACCAAUUGCGAAGGCAGGUUACCAUGAUUUAACUGACGCUGAGGGACGAAAGCGUGGGGAGCGAACAGG